rnacentral:rRNA from 1 species
CCUACGGGCAGCAGCAGUGGGGAAUAUUGGACAAUGGGCGAAAGCCUGAUCCAGCCAUGCCGCGUGUGUGAAGAAGGCCUUCGGGUUGUAAAGCACUUUCAGUGGGGAAGAAAGCCUUGGGGCUAAUACCCUCGAGGAAGGACAUCACCCACAGAAGAAGCACCGGCUAACUCCGUGCCAGCAGCCGCGGUAAUACGGAGGGUGCGAGCGUUAAUCGGAAUUACUGGGCGUAAAGCGCGCGUAGGCGGUCUGAUAAGCCGGUUGUGAAAGCCCCGGGCUCAACCUGGGAACGGCAUCCGGAACUGUCAGGCUAGAGUGCAGGAGAGGAAGGUAGAAUUCCCGGUGUAGCGGUGAAAUGCGUAGAGAUCGGGAGGAAUACCAGUGGCGAAGGCGGCCUUCUGGACUGACACUGACGCUGAGGUGCGAAAGCGUGGGUAGCAAACAGGAUUAGAUACCCUAGUAGUC